GCGGCCCGGUCCCGGGGGAGCGGCGCGGCGGCCGGACGUGUUUUACCGAGGGGAAGGCGUCUGCCUUGCCCCCUUGCCCGGCUUCUCGUGGGUCAUCGCCUCCCCCCGAGAGCAGCUCCGAGCCCCCAGCCGGGAGGGGAGCGCUCUUGGGGGGGCCCCUGGCAGCGCCGGGCCCUGCCUUCCCUCCAGGGUCUGCAGUGAGCCCCAGGCACAGCUCCCAACAGCCUCCAAGCAUGAGGAAUUCUCUUUUUUUCUCUCCAGUAAACCCAUCCUUAAAAAUAAUGGAUACUGUAAGCCCUGUGGGGCAGGGACCGCUUUUCUUGAGACGGUGUGAAAGGUUUGGCAAAACCGGAGCCAGGUUUCUCUCCAGGUGCCWCUGUAAAGCAAUGAAAUAUCAAUAUUAUUAGAUAGCUACACUGCUUAAAAACAGUCGUAAAACUAUAACCUUCACACUGACAUAAAUGUGAGAGUGCUUUAUAGAACAAGAGGAAACACAGAGACUUAAAAAYCUUAAAAUCGUCUCCAUAUUUUUCUUUUAAGACAGAAAUGCCACGUGACAGAACACCCCGCAGUAGAGGAGCUGCUUAAAUACACUUUGCGAACGAAUCCCAACUUUAGGGAAGUGUCUCGAAUGAAUGAGACUUGGCAGGUCUUAAAAACGUUUGGUGACGAUUUCUGUAACCUCUCCAUCACCUGAUCCGUUGUUUAACUAUCUCUAGAGAAUUUCCCAUUGCCUCGUGGCUGUUCACUGGAUACCCCUGAGAAGGUUGGCUCUGCGUUCUCUACACUGUCCCAUCAGGAAAGUUCCUCUGACCUGCUGUGCAGCGGCUGGGAAAAGGCAAGCAGGUGGCCUUCCUCUCUGCUCCAGCUAUGGCCUUUCUGAAAGAACUUCAGUAAGCAGUAAACGGCAGACACAACAGCCAUUGUCAGAGGAGGAAAUCGGAUUAAUUCGAUGUGGUUUCCCACCCUUGAGUGGCGUCUCCUCAUCUAGGAUAGGUUUUGUGCUAGCACUUGGUGUCCUUGGGAGCUUUCCUGUCUUCCGUGGGCUUUUGAAGACAAUUGCAGGUGCUACUGGAAGCCCCAUAACUUCCUCAUUUUGCAAUUAUGCUAAAACUGAAAUGUUUCUGCAGACAGAAGUUCAACUUACAGCAAGGAUGUUACAAGAAUAAUACAAGGAAUUAUCUGAAACAGUAAGAUGA
rnacentral:lncRNA from 1 species